AUGGUGUCGUGGAAUGACGGCGAGACGAGCUCGGAUUCGGUGUCGCUGCUGCCACACGAGGUCGAUGAGGAACCAUAUCGCCCAGCAACAAUAGAGGACAGGGAUUGGUCAGGCAUUGAUGCCACUGGAAAGCACCUUUGCAAGCAUGGGAAUGCUCCUGAGAGGCUUGUUGUGUUCGAUGGGCUGAACACUGGCCGUAGAUUUUAUGGUUGCGCCGAGAAGGAGGGUAACAAUUGUGGUGUUGUGGAAUGGGUGGACAAUGAAUGGCCUUAUGCACUAAAGAAUUCAUUGACAAAACUCUGGGCUUUGUAUAAGGAGGCCAAGGCAGGCAGAAUUAGAGAUAAUUUAGCUAAUGAGGAGAAGAUCCCUAAGUUAGAAGCAGAAGUGAAGAUAGUAGAGGAAAAGUACAACCAUCACAUUCAGCUUACCAAGGACUUUUGUGAAUCUGUUCAGAAGUCUGUGCACAAGGAGAAUUAUAGGAAAAUAAUGAUGGAUGUGGAUGAGGAGAAGACACCUCUAGAUGCAGCUGACAAGAUGAUCAAGUUAGAGAAAGAGAACUUUGAUCUAAAGAAGGAGGUUGAAAUGGCUGAAGAGGUUGCUGCUGAGCUCAAAAAGGAGAAGAAAAAACUUGAAUAUAGCUUACAUGACCUUUGGAAGGUUGGAGAGGAGAACAAGAGGAAGUUGAAGAUGAUGAAGGCAAUCUUGGAGGAGUGA
rnacentral:rRNA from 1 species